AUUGAACGCUAGCGGGAUGCUUUACACAUGCAAGUCGAACGAGUGGCGGACGGGUGAGUAAUAUAUCGGAACGUGCCCAGUAGCGGGGGAUAACUACUCGAAAGAGUGGCUAAUAGCGCAUACUAUUGGAGCGGCCGAUAUCGGAUUAGCGAGGUGGUGGGGGAAAGGCGCACAAAGGCAACGAUCCGUAGCGGGGUUGAGAGGACGACCAGCCACACUGGGACUGAUGCACGGCCCAGACUCCUACGGGCGGCAGCAGUGGGGACUUUUGGACAAUGGGGGAAACCCUGAUCCAGCCAUCCCGCGUGUAUGAGAAGGCCUUCGGGUUGUAAAGUACUUUUGGCAGAGAAGCGGUAUCUGCAGAAUAAGCACCGGCUAACUACGUGCCAGCAGCCGCGGUAAUAC
rnacentral:rRNA from 1 species